rnacentral:rRNA from 1 species
CCUACGGGAGGCAGCAGUGAGGAAUAUUGGACAAUGGGCGCAAGCCUGAUCCAGCCAUGCCGCGUGCAGGAAGAAGCAUCUAUGGUGUGUAAACUGCUUUUGUACAGGAAGAAACACUCCCUCGUGAGGGAGCUUGACGGUACUGUAAGAAUAAGGACCGGCUAACUCCGUGCCAGCAGCCGCGGUAAUACGGAGGGUCCGAGCGUUAUCCGGAAUCAUUGGGUUUAAAGGGUCCGUAGGCGGUUUAAUAAGUCAGUGGUGAAAUCUGGUCGCUCAACGAUCAAACGGCCAUUGAUACUGUUAGACUUGAAUUAUAAGGAAGUAACUAGAAUAUGUAGUGUAGCGGUGAAAUGCUUAGAUAUUACAUGGAAUACCAAUUGCGAAGGCAGGUUACUACUUAUGGAUUGACGCUGAUGGACGAAAGCGUGGGGAGCGAACAGGAUUAGAUACCCUGGUAGUCCACGCCGUAAACGAUGGAUACUAGNUGUGUGCAUNUGAGUGNGUAGAGAAGUAGAUAAGUAUACCACCGUACGGGAGGUACGGUUCGUCGAAGAAGUAGAAACGUUAAAAGGUAAAGUUAAGUACGGACGUAGAGACGUAGACGACGGACGACGACGAGGGAGGAGG